UCGCGGCCUAUCAGCUUGUUGGUGGGGUAAUGGCCUACCAAGGCGGCGACGGGUAGCCGGCCUGACAGGGUGGACGGCCACAUUGGGACUGAGAUACGGCCCAGACUCCUACGGGAGGCAGCAGUGGGGAAUAUUGCACAAUGGGCGCAAGCCUGAUGCAGCGACGCCGCGUGGGGGAUGACGGCCUUCGGGUUGUAAACUCCUUUCGCUAGGGACGAAGCUUUUUGUGACGGUGCCUAGAUAAGAAGCACCGGCUAACUACGUGCCAGCAGCCGCGGUAAUACGUAGGGUGCGAGCGUUGUCCGGAAUUACUGGGCGUAAAGGGCUCGUAGGUGGUUUGUCGCGUCGUCUGUGAAAUUCCGGGGCUUAACUCCGGGCGUGCAGGCGAUACGGGCAUAACUUGAGUACUGUAGGGGUAACUGGAAUUCCUGGUGUAGCGGUGAAAUGCGCAGAUAUCAGGAGGAACACCGAUGGCGAAGGCAGGUUACUGGGCAGUUACUGACGCUGAGGAGCGAAAGCAUGGGUAACGAACAGGAUUAGAUACCCUGGUAGUCCAUGCCGUAAACGGUGGGCGCUAGGUGUGAGGGUCUUUUCACGACUUUCGUGCCGUAGCUAACGCAUUAAGCGCCCCGCCUGGGGAGUACGGA
rnacentral:rRNA from 1 species